ACCUCCUGGGCCACGCAUCCGGAUCCCCAUCCAUGCGACCUGACACCGGGGAAGGUGUGUCAGGGCACCACGGCUGGGAGUCCCGAUCCGCGGAUCAGA
rnacentral:ncRNA from 1 species